UCAAUAAUGCUGUUUAGAAACGAUGUAUUAGUAGUAAGGGCAGUAUAUUUAAUCUAUGGAUUAACGGCCGCUAAGCAACCGCUAACCGAUUAACUCGCCUUCCGUUUUCAGUUCGUUUUUUGCAGUUUCAGUUUUUAACAAUAUUUUACGAAAAUGGCAAAUCGUGAUAAUCUACUCAGCGAAAUUGUCAUUAAAUUGAGGGAAAUUAUAGAAUUGAUAAAUUCACACCACGAUCAAAUGCCCACAUCGCCAUUCCAGCCAGAUUAAUAUACCAAUUUUUUAGACAAUCUACUGAAUGAAAUUGUGAAACGAUUAAGAGAGAUCAUCGAGAUGAUCAAUGCUCACCACACCCACCAUUGCCGGACCCAAGGUGGCCACCAGCUGGGCCGUCAUCAGGUAUACCACGCCGUCGUCGUCCUAAGUUACAAAAAUGCCUCAAAUGUGGGGAAAUUAUUCAAGAGUUCAAGCGGGCUUUUGAGGCACGGAAAAGCCAUAAGGCAUUUUUGAAUUUUUUUAAAUGUUUACUUUUUUAACAAUAUAAACAAUAAACAUACAAAUACUAUAUGUA